ensembl:lncRNA ATP6V0E2-AS1 ATP6V0E2 antisense RNA 1
GGACAGAGAGAAAUGCCGAGGAAUAGGGGCGCGGCCGCCCGGUUUCGGCGAUGGGUUAUAGGGUCCGCGUCAGCCCCGCGCCCGCACAGCCAACGUCACGCCGCAUUCUUAUUUCCAAAGACCCCUGGAGCUUGGGGUCCCACCCCAGCGGUCUUUCGGGGCGUCCCCUGCCCUUCACGCGCCGCGCCGGCUCGGCCCGAAGCGCCCUGCGGACCCGCAGCCUGGGCCGCCCCGAACCUGACGGCCCCGCGGGGGUCGGACGCGGGAGGAACGGCCUCGCUUUCAGAGACGCAGCGGGAGGGCGGUCCCCGCUGUCCCUCUGGCCGGGUCCUCAGCACGCGUUCUCCUCACUCCCAGGACUAGCGAGCGGCGGGCGCGGACCGGGGCCUGGGGUCGGAGGCGGCGCAGCCAGAAAGGCCCCAGCGGCGCUGAGACGUUUGGGGGAAGGCGGGGGCUUCGCGUUUCGAUGGCGGGAAGCGGAAUGAGGUUGGACCGGCCGGGCCGGCGUUCAGGGACCCGGCGGGAGGCGGAGGGCUGGCGUCCUCGCGGACAUCCAUCUGCAGCGAACCAGGCAGAGGCUUUGGGAUUAGAUCCUUGACUCCUUGCGUCAGUAGUUAAGCUUUGUGAUGGUCUGAGGUCCAUGAAGGGAUUAAAACCAGGAACUGGCUCCUUCUCCAACCACUAAAGCCUCAUCUGGGCCCACAAGCCCUGGCUGUUCCCUGGAGCGUGACUGGAAGAUGUGAGCAGCUUUGUGCUGGAGCCCCAUUUCCAUGGGCAGAAGGAACAUAAAGUAUGCAUUUUAUGAUACGACUCAGCUUGGAGGGAUGAAGUAGAAGGUCCUCACUGCACCUCAUGGCAGGCUGCUGACGGCAGAUAUUUUACCGGGCUCACUGAACUGGGCAGUCAGGGAAGGGUCGGCUCCUGCUCUGUCCAGCUGUCUUCAUAAGGGACUCUGUGACACUUUUUAUAAAAAUGACUUUGAUUUCUGCAUAAGAAGGCUUCCCAAGCUUGCUGUCUAGCAGUGGCUGCUACAGGGAAUUAUUCACAUGGCAGCAAGAGAGCCCUGGCUCCCUGGACCAGGACAUUCCCUUUGUGUGUGUUGGAAUGAGAGCAGGAGGAGUGCUGGUCAGAAGCCCCUCCCCAGGGCUCUGGGACUUCAGUGUUCUCAGACAAACUGGGCCGCUCCUCUGAGCUGGGAUGCUGACCCACACUUGGCCCCGGCUCUGGCAUCCACAGGACGCUGCCUUAUCCGUCAUCUCGCUGGGGCUGGGGGCUAGAGGCUGAGCAGGUCACACUGAACAAAAGAAGUGUGUCCCCAUCACUAGGCUAACAUCUGAGUUUCUUCCACAGUAUUUGGUAACACAGUCAGAAACAAGACUGAAGAUGAUUCUGGAGGCAACUGGGAACCCCCCAGAACGAUUCUGCAGGCUUCUGGGAAGCUGAAAAACCCCAAGGCCAGACUGGCCUCAGAAUGCCUGAGUCCUUUUGAUUCCACUGGAAAAGCCAUCCAUCUGUGCCAAGUGUGUGGAGAGCUUCAAGAGCCAUAUAGCCCUGGCCACCAUGAGCACAGCCACGUGGGGGAGUAGUCCUGAAAGUGUCCUGGUGUGGCAAAGGCUUUCCACUAAGUGGACCUCAGAUGGCACAGGAAGACCCUCCUGGGGAUGUGGGAGGACACUGCCUAGUGGGUGAGGGGCCGCUCUUUCAGGUGUGCACACUAAAUGCAGAGACAGCCUCUCCUGGCUGCCAAGAAGCCUGUGCAUGAUCCAGGACCACAAAACACUUGCAAACUCACUGCCCAGAGGCCCUGUGCCUGUCUGGAGUGUGCCCAGUGUGUCUGCGCCCCACAGCUUGUCCUGGCCCGCCAGCAGAGCCGCAGCACUGCAGGGCCCUUCUGUUGUGAGUGCCAGGGCCCUUGCUGGCUGCCUGAGCAAGGCAAAAGGUUCAAAACAGGAAGUCUCUGGGCAGCUAUUCCCAGGUGCAGAGGGGAGCAGCGGCCACACAGGUGCCAGUGUGGCAGGAGCUGCAGUCAGAGGCAGCAUCUCAAGAGCCCUGGGAGCAGGGGCCAGCCACGUGAAGCCCACGAGUGUCGCUGGCACAGGGAAGGGACACGAGGAUCACACUGACCCAAGAGAAGGCCCACAGUGAGGAGGCCCCACCGAAGCAUCCCCAGCAACAGGGACUGAGGCAUCUGAGGCAGCCAGCCCACUCGGAAAGGCCUGCUGACUGCACUCCAGAUGUCAAGAGCACCCUUGGGAAAAAGAAAGGCAGGAGUGCAGCACUUUCUAGAGCCUCAGCUCACUUCUCUCCUUCUAGCUCCAGCCGGAGUGAUGGAAGAGGCUGCGCUGGGAGCUGCCUCCCUGGGAGCCUACCCUGCCCAGCCUGAGAGUGGAGGCUACCAGCAUCACGCUUCCCCUAGUGAAAUCCAUCUGUCCUGAAGGGAACCCUGGGACGGGGUCAAGGAAACCCUGUUCACCCCCACCACGGGGUCAGGUCUUCACCAAAGGGAGGCCGCACGGAUUCCCAGUCGCAAACCCAAAGCCUUGCUGCCUUUGCCUCUGUUUCCAUAGUUGUUUCAAUGUCUUUUUUAAAAAUCACAUACACUCGAGUAAGACUGAGUCUCCUCACCGAAGAGAUCUGGCUGUAUCCCGAGUCUCUGAAACCUUUGCUCCAGUCCCGUGGGAGCGUGCCGUCCCGAGGAUGUGGAGCCGCAAGGGCUCGCCAGAGGGAUCUCAGGAGCUAGGCCUCAAGGAGCGCUGUUGAGUGACAGGUCUGAUGCAGUAGCUUUUACUAUUGGUGGAAAUCGAUGUUUUUUCCUUGAAAGUCUACCUUUCUAAGUUCAGUAAACCAAAUUAGAUCAUGUAUGUGAAAGCACUUUGUAAACUAUGCAGUACUCCAGAAAAGGCAGCCAAGCCCUUAAUUAUAACUCACCAAACAGC